rnacentral:rRNA from 1 species
GCAUAUCAAUAAGCGGAGGAAAAGAAACCAACAGGGAUUGCCUUAGUAGCGGCGAGUGAAGCGGCAAAAGCUCAAAUUUGAAAUCUGGCUCUUUCAGAGUCCGAGUUGUAAUUUGAAGAAGGUAUCUUUGGGUCUGGCUCUUGUCUAUGUUUCUUGGAACAGAACGUCACAGAGGGUGAGAAUCCCGUGCGAUGAGAUGAUCCAGGCCUAUGUAAAGUUCCUUCGAAGAGUCGAGUUGUUUGGGAAUGCAGCUCUAAGUGGGUGGUAAAUUCCAUCUAAAGCUAAAUAUUGGCGAGAGACCGAUAGCGAACAAGUACAGUGAUGGAAAGAUGAAAAGAACUUUGAAAAGAGAGUGAAAAAGUACGUGAAAUUGUUGAAAGGGAAGGGCUUGAGAUCAGACUUGGUAUUUUGUAUGUUACUUCUUCGGGGGUGGCCUCUACAGUUUAUCGGGCCAGCAUCAGUUUGGGCGGUAGGAGAAUUGCGUUGGAAUGUGGCACGGCUUCGGUUGUGUGUUAUAGCCUUCGUCGAUACUGCCAGCCUAGACUGAGGACUGCGG